GGGGCAUGAGGGAUAGGGGGUGUGUGCUACAAAAAAUAAAAAAAAAUAAGGAUGGGUGAAGAGAGGGUGUGCGUGAGAUAUGAGAGGUCUCUUCUUUCUUAUAUCUAUCCUUCAUAUCUAUGCCUCCUCUUGUCUUCUCCACCUCAUGUUCCUGCCCAAAUCUGAUAGAGAUAAGAUCUAAGACAGAAAAAGAAAGAGAAUAAGAGAAGAAGAAGGGUUCUUCUUCUCUUCAUGAUGAUCUG
rnacentral:lncRNA from 1 species